CUUGUUGUUGAUCAUUUUCACUCUGUUCUGCCCGCUCGCUAGACCAGGACUCUGUUUUAUGUUUGCUUCGUUCCUGCAAGGAGUACACAUGGCUGAUCACCUGAAGAUGAUUACCGGUGUGUAGAAGUAGGAGGAGUCAGGUUACCUGGUACCGCAGGUUGAAGUUGUGGAAGACUGAUUCCUGAGAUGGAGACGAUGAAGUUUCUCUCAUUUGAUAAAUGAAAGCUGGCCUGCAGGUCUGCAGAGGUUAACUUAUUCACACACACCACAGAAGACGGGGGCAGGAGGCCUCUUCCUGACAGAUAAAGAGGGCUUGUUUCAAAAUGUUCCCUGAUUGGUUAAUGGGGUCACGACUGAGGCCAGCAGCAGGAGGCAACUUAGUGGACCUUGACUGAUAUGUAUGUGUGUCUCUGUCUGUUGGGGUGGAAUGUAAAAUAAAGCUUUGUUCAAGUGAGUUUCACACACAACCAGCCGAUGGGUCGAUAUCUGUGAGAAGGGAUUUACCUUCACCUGAGACGUGCAGACCUGAGCAGGUGUGGAAGUACAUCAUGUUCUGGUUGCUUUCUGCAGCUAACCAACAGCAAUCUUAUGCCCACCAUAAAAUUAUGAAAAUUCUCAGCAAAUGUGACCUGAUACUUAACUCAACCGCAACAAUAACACUUUUCAUGCAAAUUAGUUUUGUUCCCUACACUCUUUACUUGAGGUAAAAUGACCUAAUUUAUUUUCAUCUAAAGUUUAUCACUUAUGAAAUCUUUUUAAGAACAUUUAUCCAACUCCCAGUUCUAGCUCCUCAGGUGUCCCAGAGCUCUUUCUUUCAGGCCAAGAUCAGGAUCAAAGGUCCAGGUGAGCUCCAGUCAUUCAGAACCAGGCUGGACCAGACCACUGUGCCUUAAAAGUUCCCCUAAUUCUUCUUCUGGACCCAAUCCCGGAGUCCGGAGUUUUGUUCCAGCUCGGUUCUGAUUUCAGGACAUGGUGCAGUAGAUUGAUGCAAACUCAUGUUCUGCCCUGAUUCACACAGACAGGUGGGAAUGUCAUUUCAAAAUAACAGCAAAGAAGGUCACUGGGUUUUGCAGCACACUGGAGUGUUUUACUUUGUUUUGACCAAAAACUGUAGACUCAAAGUCACAGAUACAGAGAAAUGUGUCGUCUUUCCCUUAAAAACCAUUUGCAUUCGGACUCUACUAUAAGUAACAUUUAGUCAAAAUGUUUCUGUUUGACAGAUGAUGAUGAUUCCGUGUGUUGUGUUUUAAUGUUAAGGAAACACAUUUUUUUUAUUCAUUAUGAAAUUAUUGUUGUUGCAUACUUUGCUGAUGAGAAAUAUAUUUAUAGGCCAUCAAUUAGGAAUUAACCAGGUGGUAUUACAUUUCAGAUAUUUUCAUUGGCUUUCUAUGCCUUUUUGCAGCUUCUUUUCUUUUUUCUUUUUAAGUACUUAUUUCUUGUUUCAUUUCACUCUGUCAGACUAAACUUAUAAACCAAUUAUUUCUGUUGCCAGUAUGGUGGAAAUUUCAUGUCUAUGGCUUCAUCAAAAAUAUAUUGUCUGAGAGUUUUUCAACAUAUAUUUAACAUUUAUUUACUCCACUCUAUGUUGUUCAAUAAAGGCUUUCAGUUUCUAAA